GCGGGGGCCGGAGAGCGCAGGGCGGGCCUGGAAGAGCUCCGCCCCAAGGGGCGCGGCCACCCCGGAGGCGGGCGCACGGCUGCUUCUCAUUCAUUGUCUUGACAAGAGCAUCCUCAGCGGGCGAGGCUGAGGCUAGGGGCAGAGGCUCUGGGCAUGGCACCCUCCGAGCGGCAGCACAGGCCCCUUCCCU
rnacentral:sRNA from 1 species